GCUGCAUUUAUCACAUCACGGAGAUCCGACAGUCGUCCUCCCACUGCUGGGAGGUUGUUGUUGUCUCUCACUCGCAGCAGGAGCGCCGGUGUUUUUUCCUCAGGUGUGAUCAUUGUCGGACUAUCUGAGACGAGCCAGAACUCCCCCCGGCUGAGUGUCAGUAGGAUCCCAGCAGAUGGCUGGUCAAAGCUCUACUACGUUAGCGACAAGGAUAACAGGGAUGUGAAGACGUGAAGGACAAACUCGUCAUCCUGAGUGUUCCUGACGAUACAGCGAUGCCCUUUCCUCUGUAAACAACAACAGACCAACCGACUCA